rnacentral:tmRNA from 1 species
GGGGGCGUACUGGCUUCGACGUGGGUGCUGAAACAUAAGGAGCAUACCGGGGCGCAUGAGGACCUCGAUAAAAACGUGCAAAUUGUAAUUGGCAACGAUUACGCACUUGCAGCUUAAUUGACUGCACGAUCUUCCUUGAGGUGGUUGCGCUCUUGGAAAGAUUGUCAUUUAGUGACCUCGGUGGACUGGGUUUUCUCCAGCAGGUUCGCUUAAAUUUACUGGGGGAAUGUUUGAGAGGAAUUUUGUCGAUGGAGGUCCUCUCAUCAUAUUAAAACAUCGACUAAGUAUGUAGCGCCUUAUCGCGGAUCACUUGCGGACGCGGGUUCAAUUCCCGCCGCCUCCACCA